CUGAGUCCGUGAUGAUGGAAAGUUAUCCCUGUCUGAAGGCAGAGAAAGGCCUUUCGGUGUGGAACUUGGAUGUCUGAGACUCGG